rnacentral:rRNA from 1 species
AGUGAACGCUGGCGGUAGGCCUAACACAUGCAAGUCGAACGGCAGCACAGUAAGAGCUUGCUCUUACGGGUGGCGAGUGGCGGACGGGUGAGGAAUACAUCGGAAUCUACUUUUUCGUGGGGGAUAACGUAGGGAAACUUACGCUAAUACCGCAUACGACCUACGGGUGAAAGCAGGGGAUCUUCGGACCUUGCGCGAUUGAAUGAGCCGAUGUCGGAUUAGCUAGUUGGCGGGGUAAAGGCCCACCAAGGCGACGAUCCGUAGCUGGUCUGAGAGGAUGAUCAGCCAACCGGAAACUGGGACACGGUCCAGACCCCUAGGGGAGGCAGCAGUGGGGAAUAUUGGCCAAUGGGCGCAAGCCUGAUCCAGCCAUACGCGUGGGUGAAGAAGGCCUUCGGGUUGUAAAGCCCUUUUGUUGGGAAAGAAAAGCAGCAGGUUAAUACCCCGCUGUUCUGACGGUACCCAAAGAAUAAGCACCGGCUAACUUCGUG